rnacentral:rRNA from 1 species
UAGUACGGCGAGUGAACCGGGAAGAGCUCAAAUUUGAAAUCUGGCGUCCUCAGGGCGUCCGAGUUGUAAUCUAUAGAGGCGUUUUCCGUGCCGGACCGUGUCCAAGUUCCUUGGAACAGGAUAUCAAAGAGGGUGACAAUCCCGUACUUGACACGACGACCGGUGCUCUGUGAUACGUCUUCUACGAGUCGAGUUGUUUGGGAAUGCAGCUCAAAAUGGGUGGUGAGUUCCAUCUAAAGCUAAAUAUUGGCGAGAGACCGAUAGCGAACAAGUACCGUGAGGGAAAGAUGAAAAGCACUUUGGAAAGAGAGUUAAACAGUACGUGAAAUUGUUGAAAGGGAAACGAUUGAAGUCAGUCGUGACCGAGAGGCUCAGCCGGUUCUGCCGGUGUAUUCCCCUCGGUCGGGUCAACAUCAGUUUUGUCCGGUGGAUAAGGGCGGUAGGAAGGUGGCACCCUCGGGUGUGUUAUAGCCUGCCGUCGCAUACAUCGGGUGAGACUGAGGAACGCAGCUCGCCUUUAUGGCCGGGGUUCGCCCACGUCCGAGCUUAGGAUGUUGACAUAAUGGCUUUAAACGACCCGUCUUGA